UGACUAAGCCAUGCGAGUCGAGAGGGUUCGGCCCUCGGCGUACUGCUCAGUAACACGUGGAUAACCUGCCCUAGGGGAGGGGAUAACCCCGGGAAACUGGGGAUAAUACCCUAUAGGUUACAGAUGCUGGAAUGCCCUGUAACCAAAAGCUCCGGCGCCCUAGGAUGGAUCUGCGGCCGAUUAGGUUGUUGUUGUUGGGGUAACGGCCCAACAAGCCCGUAAUCGGUACGGGUUGUGGGAGCAAGAGCCCGGAGUUGGAUUCUGAGACACGAAUCCAGGCCCUACGGGGCGCAGCAGGCGCGAAACCUUUACAAUGCGGGCAACCGUGAUAAGGGAACCUCGAGUGCCUGUAAACGCAGGCUGUUCAGGUGUUUAAAACGCACCUGGAGAAAGGGCCGGGCAAGACCGGUGCCAGCCGCCGCGGUAAUACCGGCGGCUCGAGUGGUGGCCGCUUUUAUUGGGCUUAAAGCGUUCGUAGCAGGGUUGUUAAGUCUCUUGGGAAAUCUGGCGGCUUAACCGUCAGGCGUCUAAGGGAUACUGGCAAUCUUGGAACCGGGAGAGGUGAGGGGUACUUCGGGGGUAGGGGUGAAAUCCUGUAAUCCUCGAGGGACCACCUGUGGCGAAGGCGCCUCACCAGAACGGCUUCGACAGUGAGGGACGAAAGCUGGGGGAGCAAACCGGAUUAGAUACCCGGGUAGUCCCAGCCGUAAACGAUGCGCGUUAGGUGUAUCGGUGACCACGAGUUACCGAGGUGCCGAAGGGAAACCGUGAAACGCGCCGCCUGGGAAGUACGGUCGCAAGGCUGAAACUUAAAGGAAUUGGCGGGGGAGCA
rnacentral:rRNA from 1 species